GCAGUAGCUCAGUGGUAGAGCUCCGCCUCGCAUGCGCGGAGACCUGGGUUCGAUUCCCGGCUGC
rnacentral:tRNA from 1 species